rnacentral:rRNA from 1 species
CUUUAUUGGAGAGUUUGAUCCUGGCUCAGGACGAACGCUGGCGGCAUGCCUAAUACAUGCAAGUCGAGCGGACUUGAAGAGAAGCUUGCUUCUCUGAUGGUUAGCGGCGGACGGGUGAGUAACACGUAGGCAACCUGCCCUCAAGUUUGGGACAACUACCGGAAACGGUAGCUAAUACCGAAUAAUUGUUUUCUUCGCCUGAAGAGAACUGGAAAGACGGAGCAAUCUGUCACUUGGGGAUGGGCCUGCGGCGCAUUAGCU